rnacentral:rRNA from 1 species
UACGUAGGGUGCAAGCGUUGUCCGGAAUUAUUGGGCGUAAAGAGCUUGUAGGCGGUUUGUCGCGUCUGCUGUGAAAUUUCGGGGCUCAACCCCGAACUUGCAGUGGGUACGGGCAGACUAGAGUGUGGUAGGGGAGACUGGAAUUCCUGGUGUAGCGGUGAAAUGCGCAGAUAUCAGGAGGAACACCGAUGGCGAAGGCGGUUCUCUGGGCCUUACCUGACACUGAGGAGCGAAAGCGUGGGGAGCGAACAGG